GUUAUCAUCCAGAAAUAUCUAUCGCUAUUUUUUAUUUCAAAUUAUUGAGUUCGAGAAAUUUAAUUAUACUGUUGAUAAAUAUAUAGAUUAUCUACAAAGAGUUAAAUACUAUGUUUUGUCUGACUUGCAAGUAGUCGUAUCGUUAGUUCAUAAAGACAAAAAAUAAAAAUGUCGAAAAUAAUUUUAUUAUUAUCAAUUGUUGUAUUAAUUGGUCUCUAUGCUUGUGCAGUUGAAGGAUGCAAAGGCGGAUGGUGCCAUCCCUACCAAGGUUAUGGAUGUUGUGCUCAUCAUCAAUGUUCCUCAAAUUUUAUGCAAGGUAGUUGUCUUACUGACGCAGAAGUUGAUGAACUAAGACCUCUCUGGGAGAUGGGAAAAUAAGUGUGAUAUUUCGGUAGUAACGUACAAAAUGCUGUAAUACUCAGGCUUUUCAAAAUACAAAACUCUAAUGAUAUUGAAAGUCGAUUAAUUGUUAUAAUCCUAUCGAAAAGUUGUUUUUAUACUUUCAUGCUUCUUUCUUUGUACGUACUUCUGUUCAUCAAGAUGACGACUAAAGAAAGACUCAAUAAAUCCAUUGUUUAGUUCCCGUAAUAUUUAUUAAUUUAAUAA